AGCUCCAAUAGCGUAUAUUAAAGUUGUUGCAGUUAAAAAGCUUGUAGUUGGAUUUCUGGUGGGAGGGAUCGGUCCAGCACUCUGUGUGGGAACUUGUAUCCUCUCCGGCCAUCCUUGGGUGGAUCUUGUCUGGUAUUAAAUUGUCAGUCAGGGGAUUCCCAUCGUUUACUGUGAAAAAAUUAGAGUGUUCAAAGCAGGCUUAUGCCAUUGAAUAUAUUAGCAUGUAAUAAUAAGAUAGGGGCCUGGUACUAUUUUGUUGGUUUACGUACCGAGGUAAUGAUUAAUAGGGACAGUUGGGGGUAUUUUUAUUCAGUAUUCAGUGGUGAAAUACUUAGACCUACGGAAGACAAACUACUGCGAAAGUAUUUACCAGCAAGAAUAUUUUCA
rnacentral:rRNA from 1 species